rnacentral:rRNA from 1 species
CGAACGGGUGAGUAACGCGUGAGGAACCUGCCUCAAAGAGGGGGACAACAGUUGGAAACGACUGCUAAUACCGCAUAAGCCCACGGCUCGGCAUCGAGCAGAGGGAAAAGGAGCAAUCCGCUUUGAGAUGGCCUCGCGUCCGAUUAGCUAGUUGGUGAGGUAACGGCCCACCAAGGCGACGAUCGGUAGCCGGACUGGGAGGUUGAACGGCCACAUUGGAACUGAGACACGGUCCAA